CUCACGUCGCCUCUUGCCUUGCCAAAACCGCCAUCCACCCUCCUCUCUCUUUUCCCACGCCAAAACCAUCGCAACGCCUUGCCUCGUGACCGGAGGCCUCGACGCCGUGCCCAGCAUCCCCUUCCUGGAGCCUCGACUGUGCGCGUUCGGAGCUCGCCGUUGAGCCUCGUCGACAUCCCCGUUCGCGACGUCCGGCGUUACCAGGAUUGCGAUUCAUUUCCGAGCAUCAAGGGAUUGAAGGUCAAGCUUUGGUGACCAAG
rnacentral:lncRNA from 7 species